CCCUUAGAUGUCCUGGGCUGCACGCGCGCUACACUGGAAGUUACGGAUUGAGAUACUACCUUGUCCGAAAUGGUCCGGGUAAUCACCUAAAAGCUUGUCAUAAUUGGAAUGGAUUAUUGUAACUAGUAAUCCUGAACGAGGAAUUCCUAGUAAGUCCCAGUCAACAGCUGGUACUGAUUACGUCCCUGCCCUUUGUACACACCGCCCGUCGCUACUACUGAUUGGACGGUUAAGCAAGAUUUUUAAACACUGACAGUGUGUAGUUCACGCUAUACUACAGUGAGAAGAAGAAGAUCGAGCUUACUUGUCUAGAGGAAGUAAAAGUCGUAACA
rnacentral:rRNA from 1 species